GGUUAAGCGACUAAGCGUACACGGUGGAUGCCCUGGCAGUCAGAGGCGAUGAAGGACGUGCUAAUCUGCGAUAAGCGCCGGUAAGGUGAUAUGAACCGUUAUAACCGGCGAUUUCCGAAUGGGGAAACCCAGUGUGACUCGUCACACUAUCAUUAACUGAAUCCAUAGGUUAAUGAGGCGAACCGGGGGAACUGAAACAUCUAAGUACCCCGAGGAAAAGAAAUCAACCGAGAUUCCCCCAGUAGCGGCGAGCGAACGGGGAGGAGCCCAGAGCCUGAAUCAGCAUGUGUGUUAGUGGAAGCGUCUGGAAAGGCGCGCGAUACAGGGUGACAGCCCCGUACACAAAAGCGCAUGUGCUGUGAGCUCGAUGAGUAGGGCGGGACACGUGGUAUCCUGUCUGAAUAUGGGGGGACCAUCCUCCAAGGCUAAAUACUCCUGACUGACCGAUAGUGAACCAGUACCGUGAGGGAAAGGCGAAAAGAACCCCGGCGAGGGGAGUGAAAAAGAACCUGAAACCGUGUACGUACAAGCAGUGGGAGCACAGGUUUACCUGUGUGACUGCGUACCUUUUGUAUAAUGGGUCAGCGACUUAUAUUCUGUAGCAAGGUUAACCGAAUAGGGGAGCCGGAGGGAAACCGAGUCUUAAUUGGGCGUUAAGUUGCAGGGUAUAGACCCGAAACCCGGUGAUCUAGCCAUGGGCAGGUUGAAGGUUGGGUAACACUAACUGGAGGACCGAACCGACUAAUGUUGAAAAAUUAGCGGAUGACCUGUGGCUGGGGGUGAAAGGCCAAUCAAACCGGGAGAUAGCUGGUUCUCCCCGAAAGCUAUUUAGGUAGCGCCUCGUGAAUUCAUCUCCGGGGGUAGAGCACUGUUUCGGCUAGGGGGCCAUCCCGGCUUACCAACCCGAUGCAAACUGCGAAUACCGGAGAAUGUUAUCACGGGAGACACACGGCGGGUGCUAACGUCCGUCGUGAAGAGGGAAACAACCCAGACCGCCAGCUAAGGUCCCAAAGUCAUGGUUAAGUGGGAAACGAUGUGGGAAGGCCCAGACAGCCAGGAUGUUGGCUUAGAAGCAGCCAUCAUUUAAAGAAAGCGUAAUAGCUCACUGGUCGAGUCGGCCUGCGCGGAAGAUGUAACGGGGCUAAACCAUGCACCGAAGCUGCGGCAGCGAACGUAUCACCCAAGACAACUUUGCGGAGUUGACGAUUGACGGAGCGAAGCGACGUCAAAGCGUUCAUUAAAGUCGAGUUGGCUUAGGGAUACGUUCGUUGGGUAGGGGAGCGUUCUGUAAGCCUGUGAAGGUGGCCUGUGAGGGUUGCUGGAGGUAUCAGAAGUGCGAAUGCUGACAUAAGUAACGAUAAAGCGGGUGAAAAGCCCGCUCGCCGGAAGACCAAGGGUUCCUGUCCAACGUUAAUCGGGGCAGGGUGAGUCGACCCCUAAGGCGAGGCCGAAAGGCGUAGUCGAUGGGAAACGGGUUAAUAUUCCCGUACUUGGUGUUACUGCGAAGGGGGGACGGAGAAGGCUAUGUUGGCCGGGCGACGGUUGUCCCGGUUUAAGCGUGUAGGUGUGUGUUCCAGGUAAAUCCGGUUCACUUUAACACUGAGGCGUGAUGACGAGGCACUACGGUGCUGAAGCAACAAAUGCCCUGCUUCCAGGAAAAGCCUCUAAGCAUCAGGUAACAUCAAAUCGUACCCCAAACCGACACAGGUGGUCAGGUAGAGAAUACCAAGGCGCUUGAGAGAACUCGGGUGAAGGAACUAGGCAAAAUGGUGCCGUAACUUCGGGAGAAGGCACGCUGACACGUAGGUGAAGUGAUUUACUCAUGGAGCUGAAGUCAGUCGAAGAUACCAGCUGGCUGCAACUGUUUAUUAAAAACACAGCACUGUGCAAACACGAAAGUGGACGUAUACGGUGUGACGCCUGCCCGGUGCCGGAAGGUUAAUUGAUGGGGUCAGCGCAAGCGAAGCUCCUGAUCGAAGCCCCGGUAAACGGCGGCCGUAACUAUAACGGUCCUAAGGUAGCGAAAUUCCUUGUCGGGUAAGUUCCGACCUGCACGAAUGGCGUAAUGAUGGCCAGGCUGUCUCCACCCGAGACUCAGUGAAAUUGAACUCGCUGUGAAGAUGCAGUGUACCCGCGGCAAGACGGAAAGACCCCGUGAACCUUUACUAUAGCUUGACACUGAACAUUGAGCCUUGAUGUGUAGGAUAGGUGGGAGGCUUUGAAGCGUGGACGCCAGUCUGCGUGGAGCCGACCUUGAAAUACCACCCUUUAAUGUUUGAUGUUCUAACGUGGACCCGUAAUCCGGGUUGCGGACAGUGUCUGGUGGGUAGUUUGACUGGGGCGGUCUCCUCCUAAAGAGUAACGGAGGAGCACGAAGGUUGGCUAAUCCUGGUCGGACAUCAGGAGGUUAGUGCAAUGGCAUAAGCCAGCUUGACUGCGAGCGUGACGGCGCGAGCAGGUGCGAAAGCAGGUCAUAGUGAUCCGGUGGUUCUGAAUGGAAGGGCCAUCGCUCAACGGAUAAAAGGUACUCCGGGGAUAACAGGCUGAUACCGCCCAAGAGUUCAUAUCGACGGCGGUGUUUGGCACCUCGAUGUCGGCUCAUCACAUCCUGGGGCUGAAGUAGGUCCCAAGGGUAUGGCUGUUCGCCAUUUAAAGUGGUACGCGAGCUGGGUUUAGAACGUCGUGAGACAGUUCGGUCCCUAUCUGCCGUGGGCGCUGGAGAACUGAGGGGGGCUGCUCCUAGUACGAGAGGACCGGAGUGGACGCAUCACUGGUGUUCGGGUUGUCAUGCCAAUGGCACUGCCCGGUAGCUAAAUGCGGAAGAGAUAAGUGCUGAAAGCAUCUAAGCACGAAACUUGCCCCGAGAUGAGUUCUCCCUGAGACUUUAGGUCUCCUGAAGGAACGUUGAAGACGACGACGUUGAUAGGCCGGGUGUGUAAGCGCAGCGAUGCGUUGAGCUAACCGGUACUAAUGAACCGUGAGGCUUAACCUU
rnacentral:rRNA from 1 species